rnacentral:misc_RNA from 1 species
GUUGAACCACUCCAUUCUUGUCAAGCACAUAAGUCUGUCUACCAGGCAAUGUACCAAAAAGGUCUCCCGGGAUUCCCCACUCUUUCCUAACUUUGUUGCCUUCAUCACACAACAAGGUAAAUGGGAGCCUGUACUUCUUUGCAAAGGCCUUGUGGGAUUCAAUAUCAUCACCACUAAUUCCAACAACUUGAGCCCCUGCUUUCUUGAAUUUUUCAUAAGAGUCCCUGAAGGCACAUGCCUGUUUGGUGCAACCAGGAGUUUCAUCAGCAGGGUAGAAAUAAACCACCACAGGCUUUCCUUUAAACUUGGAGAGACUCACAUUUUUUCCAUCUUGAUCUUUCAAUGUGAAUGGUGGAGGCGCUGAACCUUUAUUCACCUUAGCAACAAUUGAAGUUCUUGAAGAAGAUGGGGUUGAAAAAGAAGGUGAAUGAAGGACUUCAAGGCCAUAAAAAUGGGAUUGUGAUGAUCUGGAGACAAUGGUAAGGUUUUGGGAGAUGGGUUUUUUUGGGGUUUGAGCAUAUUGGAGCAGAGAAGGAAGAGUGUGUUUUACAGAGACCGAUAGAGAAGCCAUUUUUUUUCUCUCUUUCUACUAUGUG